GAUGAACGCUGGCGGCGUGCCUAAUACAUGCAAGUCGAGCGAACGGACGAGAAGCUUGCUUCUCUGAUGUUAGCGGCGGGCGGGUGAGUAACACGUGGAUAACCUACCUAUAAGACUGGGAUAACUUCGGGAAACCGGAGCUAAUACCGGAUAAUAUUUUGAACCGCAUGGUUCAAAAGUGAAAGACGGUCUUGCUGUCACUUAUAGAUGGAUCCGCGCUGCAUUAGCUAGUUGGUAAGGUAACGGCUUACCAAGGCAACGAUGCAUAGCCGACCUGAGAGGGUGAUCGGCCACACUGGAACUGAGACACGGUCCAGACUCCUACGGGAGGCAGCAGUAGGGAAUCUUCCGCAAUGGGCGAAAGCCUGACGGAGCAACGCCGCGUGAGUGAUGAAGGCCUUCGGAUCGUAAAACUCUGUUAUUAGGGAAGAACAUAUGUGUAAGUAACUGUGCACAUCUUGACGGUACCUAAUCAGAAAGCCACGGCUAACUACGUG
rnacentral:rRNA from 1 species